rnacentral:rRNA from 1 species
AUGGGUAACAUUUUAACGUCUGCAAUUAACAAGCCCAUACCUGAGACGUCCUCGAGAUGGCUGACCGAGUGUGUCACCGCCGCCCACAACUUUGAGGUGAUUAAGUACUCGUUGCUCGAGGGUAUGGGUUCUGGCAAGUUCAUUUGCUCGAGCAAAUUCAGCGUCAGCGGCUACGACUGGAACAUUAGGAUCUAUCCUGACGGGGCCAUGAAGGAAGACAAAGCUGCCUACAUGUCGGUCUUCUUGUGUUUCUGCCGUGGAGCAACAAGGGAUGCGAAGGUGAAGUACACUUUUAGUUUAUUAGAAAAAGAUGGCAAAGUCAGUAAUUUAACGGACAGCACAUAUACCUUUUCAUCGGCGAGUAUCGGUCAGGGCUGGACCAACUUUAUUGAAAAGUCCAAGCUGAAGGAACUGCUGUCCCGCAAUGACGACUGCUUCACAAUCAGGUGUGUUUUGACUGUCAUAAAAGACCAUCACACGGAACAAGUUGGCACAGUCCCGGUCCAGGUCCCGCAGUCAGACCUGCACACGCACUUUGCAAAUAUGUUGAAGGGUGGAGAAGGCGUGGACGUGACAUUCAGUGUCGGCGACCAACUCUUCAGUGCACAUAAAUACGUGUUAGCCGCACGAUCGUCGGUCUUCAAAGCCGAGCUCUUUGGUCAAAUGAAGGGGACCACUACAAAAAACAUCAAGAUCGAUGACAUGGAGCCUGCCAUCUUCGAUGCACUUCUUUACUUCAUAUACACAGAUUCUCUGCCAAGCAAUUUCGAUGUUGAUCAAAAUGUGGCACUGCAGCACUUGUUAGUCGCUGCAGAUCGGUAUGGACUGGAAAGGCUAAAGGCUAUUUGUGAAGAGAAGCUAUGCCAGAAAUUUGAUGUGCAAACAGUUGCAACCACACUUGCUUUAGCAGAGCAGCACCACUCCUUGCAACUUAAAAAAGCUUGCCUUGGAUACCUGUCUUUGCAGGACGUGCUUCGAGCUGUCAAGAAGACGGAUGGAUUCAAGCACCUCACAACCAGCUGUCCAUCGAUUAUGAUGGACAUAUUAGACAAGGUCGCCCCAUCGUCACAAGUAUGA